rnacentral:rRNA from 1 species
UGGGGGAUAUUGCACAAUGGGCGAAAGCCUGAUGCAGCGACGCCGCGUGGGGGAUGAAGGCUUUCGGGUUGUAAACCUCUUUCGCUAUCGAGCAAGGCCCGCUUAGGGUGGGUUGAGGGUAGGUGGAGAAGAAGCGCCGGCUAACUACGUGCCAGCAGCCGCGGUAAUACGUAGGGCGCGAGCGUUGUCCGGAAUUAUUGGGCGUAAAGGGCUUGUAGGCGGCUUGUUGCGCCUGCUGUGAAAACGCGGGGCUUAACUUCGCGCGUGCAGUGGGUACGGGCAGGCUUGAGUGUGGUAGGGGUGACUGGAAUUCCAGGUGUAGCGGUGGAAUGCGCAGAUAUCUGGAGGAACACCGAUGGCGAAGGCAGGUCACUGGGCCAUUACUGACGCUGAGGAGCGAAAGCAUGGGUAGCGAACAGG